rnacentral:rRNA from 1 species
UGGGGAAUUUUCCGCAAUGGGCGAAAGCCUGAUGGAGCAACGCCGCGUGAGUGAAGAAGGGUUUCGGCUCGUAAAACUCUGUUGUUAAAGAAGAACAUAUCUGAGAGUAACUGUUCAGGUAUUGACGGUAUUUAACCAGAAAGCCACGGCUAACUACGUGCCAG